UUGACGCCCCGGCAGGCCUNCCAUGCAAGCCGAGGGGCAGCAUAAAAUUAGCUUGCUAAUUUGGUGGCGACCGGCGCACGGGUGCGUAACGCGUAUGCAACCUACCUUAUACUGGGGGAUAGCCCGGAGAAAUUCGGAUUAAUACCCCAUAGUAUUGUGAUAUCGCAUGGUAUUAUAAUUAAAGGAUACCGGUAUAAGAUGGGCAUGCGUCCUAUUAGCUAGAUGGUGAGGUAACGGCUCACCAUGGCGACGAUAGGUAGGGGGCCUGAGAGGGUGGUCCCCCACACUGGUACUGAGACACGGACCAGACUCCUACGGGAGGCAGCAGUGAGGAAUAUUGGUCAAUGGGCGCAAGCCUGAACCAGCCAUGCCGCGUGCAGGAAGAAUGCCCUAUGGGUUGUAAACUGCUUUUAUUUGGGAAUAAACCUCUUUACGUGUAGAGAGCUGAAGGUACCAAAUGAAUAAGCACCGCUAACUCCGUGCCACAGCCGCGGUAUACGGAGGGUGCAAGCGUAUCCGAAUCAUGGGUUUAAGGGUCCCAGCGUCUGAUAC
rnacentral:rRNA from 1 species